ensembl:lncRNA
GGAUGAGCAUGCUUUCUCUGCGUGAGAAGAAAGAGCGAAAAGUCCCCAGUUGAAACAUCCGAAACAACCUCUUUCGUGUUGCUGCGGCAAAAAACAUUAACAUCUAAUAGACCGGCAGUACGGAUUUCCUUUCAUUUACUUAAUUUUGUUACACGAGUCAAGUUUUAUGGAUCUAAGCGCUGUGAAAACACCACAGUCCCCUCAGGGCGAAUCCAUCAAAGAGACGCGAUGAAACGCCACCACGGCCCGUUGGUGUUCCCGGAUUUUUGUGAUGAACUGAAGAUCAAAACACCUUUUUAACUUUGUGUCAAAUCUUUUUAGAAGCGGAAUGUUUCCGGCCUCCUGUCCGUGUACCUGGUGAUGUGCUUGCAUUCACAUGAAAUGAUGUUUUACAUCGUGAAAAUUUCCAAAAUAACUCGGGUACAGACGCUCAACUUGCACCUUUCAAUUCCCGUCAAAGUCAAAUAUGUUUAGACUGCAGCUGAACCGAAUCCAAACCUCCAUUUCAUGGAAAAUCCCAAAUCCGUUUUCUAUUUCCAUUAGAGGCUCACGAGGAAAGCUGAGUUGACAUAUUUGGUGUUGUUCCAAGUCCACACAUUGUGAAAUAAAAAAAAAAAAACGUUCCUAUGUUCUUAGAUAUGAAGAUAUAUGAAUAUGAAUAAUAAAUGAUUGCGUAAAUCCUUGUUAUUGUGUCAGUAACAUUUAAGGUUUAAUGGAAAUUGUAAAACAAUUAAUUUGCUAGAGGAUUGCCUGGAUCAAGCAGAUGUCAAGUCCCUGCAAGUUGGUUUUCACUGGCAAACCAUUGCCUGCCAGUUCAACCUGGCCCGUAGCGCUCAACGAGGGUGCACAUUAGUACCCUUACAGGUUCUAUCUGGUGGAACGAGCUCUCUGAAGACAUCAGGACCACCGAGAGCCUUCACAUCUUCCGCCGCAAACAGCAGACACACCUCUUCAGACUCUACCUCCACUAAAAGACUAACAAAUUGUAGCACUCAAAUUGUUCUUGUAACGCCACUUAUCUAUAGCAACUUGUAAAUUGGCUUAUUUGAGGAAAUUGCACUUUCUUGUUUCUUGCUCUGAGUUUGUACCCUAUGGUUGAAUGCACUUAUUGUACGUCGCUUUGGAUAAAAGCGUCAGCUAAAUGACAUGUAAUGUAUCUUACAGGGGAAAUGUUGCAAAAAUAGUGGAACUGAAUGUUCAAAACCGAUAUAAAAAUGACUAAGAACAUUUUC